GUCCCUUUAGAGAUAUCCGAUAAAAUUAGAACGAUACAAAGAAGAUUAACAUGGCCCCUACGUAAGGAUAUAUGAUAAAUAGUCCCUCACGUAUCACUUAAUUUUU